rnacentral:tRNA from 2 species
CGGGUAUAGUUCAGCGGUAGAACAUCAGCUUCCCAAGCUGAGUGUCGCGAGUUCGAUUCUCGUUACCC